rnacentral:rRNA from 1 species
AUUGAACGCUGGCGGCAUGCUUUACACAUGCAAGUCGAACGGGGUGAGGGGGCAACUCCUCAUUCAGUGGCGAACGGGUGAGUAAUGCAUCGGAACGUGUCCCGCAGUGGGGGAUAACCCGGCGAAAGCCGGGCUAAUACCGCAUACGCUCUGCGGAGGAAAGCGGGGGACCUCGCGAGGGGCCUCGUGCUAUGGGGGCGGCCGAUGUCCGAUUAGCUGGUUGGUGGGGUAAUGGCCUACCAAGGCGACGAUCGGUAGCUGGUCGGAGAGGAUGAUCAGCCACGAUGGGACUGAGACACGGCACAUACUCCUACGGGAGGCAGCAGUGGGGAAUUUUGGACAAUGGGGGCAACCCUGAUCCAGCCAUGCCGCGUGCGGGAAGAAGGCCUUCGGGUUGUAAACCGCUUUUAGCCGGGACGAAAGCCUCGCGGAUAACACCUGCGGGGGUUGACGGUACCGGCGGAAUAAGCACCGGCUAACUACGUGCCAGCCGCCGCAGUAAUAC